CUAAUAUUUUGGUAUUUUUAGUAGAGAUGGGGUUUCACCAUGUUGACCAGGCUGGUCUCAAACUCCUGACCUCAGGUGAUCCACCUGCCUUGGCCUCCCAGAGUGCUGGGAUUACAGGCGUGAGCCACCGCUCCUGGCCUUGAAUGGAUAAAUCUUAAGGGAUAUUUUUGGAAAGGAUUUUCUAAAAAAUACCCAUGUCUCUACACUAUUGCAGAAGGGCUUUCAGUUUUGAUGGCAGCCUUUCAGGCCAGCCUACAUGCAACUAAACUUUUCCAUAACAGCAUCACACUUACACAAGAAGAAGGUUUUAUAACCCUGUUUCACUUGCCGUUAUUUAACAUAGUUCUUCCUCCUUAACAUUCAAGAUCUGAGCACGAUCAUGUUCUUCUUUUUGUUUUUGUUUUUUUUCUAAAUCAAAUUGAAGUGAGUCACCUCACCUUGGGCCAAAGUUGGACAGAAAUCUAUUCUUGGCUUUAUUCCCCACCCCUCCACCGCCUUGGAACCUUAUAGAACUUUGUGUGGUUUAGGAAAAUGAGAGCAAGGCCUCAGAUCUUCAACCCAUGACAGUUGUAUGCCCAGCUCCCUGCCUUCCUGUUUCACCCCCAGCUAGGGCACAGGACCGACUACUGUGCUCAGAGAGGUGCCAGAGCCUGUAACACCCCCAGACUUCCCAGGUCCAGCCACAUCCACCCCAGAGCCCCAAAAGAUGAUCUUCAGAGAGACCUUUAAAACACAAGCAGCUGGUCACUUCCCUCCUGACCGGAACCCAAGAUGGCUGUGGUCUCGCUGAGACAUGUUGGUCGUCAUUGCCUCCGAGCCCACUUGAGCCCUCAGCUCUGUAUCAGAAAUCCUGUUCCUUUGGGAACCAUGGCCGAAGAAGAGAUGGAGCAGUUCUGGAAUAAGAACACAGGUUCAAACUGCCCCAUAUCUCCCCACUCACUAUCUACAGUUGGUCUCUUCCCAUGGCGAUGUCCAUCUGCCACCACGGCACUGGUAUUGCUUUGGAGUGCAGGGGUCUCUCUUUUUGGCAUGUCGGCCCUGUUACUCCCUGGGAACUUUGAGUCUUACUUGGAAUGCAUGAAGUCCCUGUGUCUGGGGCCAGCACUGAUCCACACAGCUAAGUUUGCACUCGUCUUCCCUCUCAUGUAUCAUCCCUGGAAUGGGAUCUGACACUUGAUGUGGGACCUAGGAAAAGGCCUGAAGAUUCCCCAGCUAUACCAGUCUGGAGUGGUUGUCCUGGUUCUUACUGUGUAAGGCUGUAGGGCUGGCAGCCACGUGAAGAACAGAGACUCCGAGCGUCAUCUUCUUACACAUUAUUAUAUUCACCCAUCUUUCUGUUUGUCACUCUUAUCUCCAGCGUUGGAAAAGUUCUCCUUAUUUGUUAGAUCCUUUUGCACUUUCAGAUCCCCUUGGAGCAGUAGAGCACCUUGUAGAGCUAACAGUGGAAAAGGGCCUAGUUUUUCCCUUGUUUCUAAAGAUGGGGUGGCUGAAAAAUUUCCCCUUUUUUGCCCACAGCUUGCCUCCUCUGGGCCUAGAAGCAGUUAUUCUCUCUCCAUAUUGGGCUUUGAUUUGUGCUGAGGGUCAGCUUUUGGCUCCUUCCUCCUGAGACAGUGGAAACAAUGCCAGCUCUGUGGCUUCUGCCGUGGGGGCUGGGGGUGAGGCUUUGGGUGCCACUGCCUGUGGGUUGCUGGCUUAAAGGACAAUUCUGUUCAUUGGUGAGAGCCCAGGUCAUUAACACCUACGCAGUGUUAUUGAAAGAAGAGAGGCAGAGGUGGAGGGGAGUUAGUCUAUCCCAGCUAGAGGGAGAUAAAGAGGGCUAGUUAGUUCUUGGAGCAGCUACUUUGAGGAGAAAAUGUAUAGCUUUUGACACAAGAGGAAGAUCCAGUAAAUUAUCAUUGAACAUAUUAAAGGUUAUUUCUUUUUCUUACAAAACACACACACACGCACACACGCACGCAGCUGAUGAUUCCAUUUUCCCAGCCCCGGCCCUGAAGGGGACCCAGAACUCUCUGCACAAAGGCCGUCCUUCAAGGGGAGGGUGAAAGAAAUGGAAAAUCACAUUUUCAUUCUUUAGCGUCUCCAUACAACAGCCAGAACUGGGCGGAAGCUAAUUAUAUCAGAAGCAUACUCCAUGUUGCUGCAUCAGCUUUGGGAUGUUCAUUUUUAAAUUUAUUUAUAGCUUGUCUCGUUCCUCAAAGGAGUUCAGGCAGCUACAAAAAUAAAGACAAUAAAAUUGAAAAAAAAUUAAAUUAAAAAAAUCAUGACCAGGGAAAACGUGCAAUAGAAUGAAGUGUCAAUUAUUACAUUUUCUGACUGCAAAAUCUCCUCCGCAGCUGAUGCACCAUCAUUUACUAAAACAGCCCCUCUUGUUGGACAUUUCCAGUUCAUUUCGUCUGGGGUGGUUUGUUGCUGUUGCUGUGGUUGUGGUUUUGUUUUAUUGAAUUUUGUGUUAGCUGCAGCUAAUACCAUCUAGCUGAUGGCUUUGUGCUGCUCUUGAAUGAUUACUCAGGAUAAAUUCCCUGGAGACGGAUUAUAGGAUCAGAAGGUCUGAACUUCUGUGUGGCUCUAGCUACAAAGCACCAGACUGCUUUCCAAGAGCAUUGUAGCAAUUUAUAAUCCAACACUCAGACUAUUUUUUGGCUGAGAGUCAAGUCCCAGAAUGCGAAGGAGGGGGUCUUGGCCUGGAGCGGAGGCUGAGGGAUGGGUGCACAGGACCCCUCCUUAUUGGUUAUUUAUGGGGAUGGGCCAGGAGGAGCAGAAGAGACGCCCCUGCCCUCCCAGUUGCUCCUUGGAGUGACUGGCCCUAUAGGGGAGGGGCAAAGCUACCUCACAUUUAGAGUUAUAUAGUUGUUGAUGGUCAAGGUCCUAGGUCUAAUGGGCAUCCUUCUCCCUCUCCUCCUCGGCCAGUAAUGGCUACACUAUGUCCUAUGUCCCAGAUCUGGGUCCCUUAUGCUAUGGGAACACCAAUAAUAUUUACACUGUCUCCUGGCAGAAACAGUGCAGGAGGGCUGUGGCAUGGUAGUGGGCCCUGGAAACCAUCCAGCCUUCAUGAGGAAGAGCAGUUAAAGCACAGCCAUGUAUGAUGUUGGUAUUGAUUAAAAGCCUUAUGGGCAGAUAAAUUUGCCAUCUGCCAGGGCCUCAGCCAUAUAAGGGCUCCAGCCAUACAUCCUCCAGGAGACUGGGACCUCUCCAAUUGCAGGAGCCUUGCCUUCCCCAUCAGAUCAGGAAUUAUCCAAGGAUGGGGACAAUGUCCUUCCCAUCUGCUUGAGAACUCCUAAGGGGCAUGUUCUCUGUCUCCCCAUUGUAUCUGGAACUUCCUGGGAGCAUAGCUCCUGUCUGCUUCCUCAGACUGGAAACCCCCUUAGGGCAGAGGCCAUGUCCUUCUACCCACUUGGGGUUCCCUGAAGUUGGGGGCCACAUCUCUGAUAUACAAUGCUUUGUAUGUACUGACUGCUGCAGGAUUCUUGGAGUAAAUGGGCAGUCAACUUCUUGGAAUGGUGUUGACCAUCUGGACUUCAUCAGAUUGUCCAAGACUUCGCCAUUCACUAGACAGGGGCCAUGUGCACAGGCAGAGCCCUGGCCUCUGGCUUCUGGCUCCUGACUCCUGGUCCCUUUGCUUUAAUUUGGCUAAUGGCAGAACCAGACUCCUUUCUGGGCUGCCCUGGAAGAGGAUCCUUGAAUGAAGGAGGAUAGGAUGGGAAGGUGGCAGCUGGCAUGCUUGCCUCUUAUGCCAUGGGGGGGCUGCUCUCUCUGGAAAUUUAGGCCUGAGUUCAGGGCACUGUUGAGCAUUUCACACCCCAGGCCAGAGGAGGGGUGAGUGUGGAGCAGGGCUCAGCUAGUAGCCCAUGAGGUAUGAUGUGUAGGCAGCACCCGGGCCUCACAGAGCCUGUUACCCAUGUUAUCUCCUCUGACCUUGGAAAGAGCUGGGGUGUAUGAACAAGAAUUUAUAAAGUUACAAAAAUCAGAUGAGGAAACUGAGACAUGGGGAAGGUAAAUGACAUGCCCUAGGUUACACAACUUAUAAGUAACAGGGAUUCUGCCCUUCUCUCACACCAAGUCCCACUCUCUUUGCUUCUUGAAGUCCCUGUGACUGAUCUAAAGGCCGCAAGUUUAACAGAAUAAGGAGGGGGGCUCUGUUGCCGCAAACCAGUUGCCCCACCUGCACACAGACUCUAAGGGACAUCCUGCUUUAAGCUGUCCUUAGUUACUAAUACCUUAGAGCGAAUGAGUUUGAAAUUUUCUCAAGAGCCAUGGGAGAUUAGGAAGCCUCUAAGCUUCAUAGAGAGCCUGGCUUGGGGGACACAGGAGCCAAAGGCAGAGGAAGAAGUGGCAGCUUGGUGCCCCCAGAAACACAUGCUUCUGACCUCACAGUUGGCCACAGACAGCCAACUCUCCCAUCCUUCUCCCACCACUUUCCCAUGGGGCUAACUUCACCCUGUUCACACACAGUGACUUAACAGCUUAAGCCCCAGAUUUGGGGGCCGGGGUACCUGGGACAAGAGUCCUGAGGGAAACAGGGUGAGGAACUGGAGGUGCCACAGGGCUAGAAUUCUGCCCCUAGCCUACCGGAGCUGUGCCCCACAGGCUGGCACCACUGGGCUGUGCUGCCUCCAGCCACCCAGGGCAUCUCCAUGUGUAGCUGUCACCCUCCUCCUGCUAAACUCAUACCUGUGCUUCC